rnacentral:rRNA from 1 species
UUCGUAGGCGGUCUGUUUAGUCAGAGGUGAAAUCUAACGGCUCAACCGUUAACCUGCCUUUGAAACUGGCAGACUUGAGUAUUGGAGAGGAAAGCGGAAUUCUUGGUGUAGCGGUGAAACGCGUGGAUAUCAAGAGGAACACCCGUGGCGAAGGCGGCUUUCUGGCCAAAUACUGACGCUGAGGAACGAAAGCUAGGGGAGCGAACG